rnacentral:rRNA from 1 species
GACGAACGCUGGCGGCGUGCUUAACACAUGCAAGUCGAACGGAAAGGCCUCUUUCGUGGGGUACUCGAGUUGCGAACGGGCGAGUAACACGUGCGUAACCUGCCCUUCACUUUGGGAUAACUUCCGGAAACUGGGGCUAAUACCGGAUAGGUGCUCCUUCGGCACGGUGGGGGUUAGAAAGUUUCGGCGGUUGGGGAUGGACUCUCGGCUUAUCCGCUUUUUGGUGGGGUAGUGGCUUACCAAGGCCUUGACGGGUAGCCGGCCUGAGAGGGUGACCGGCCACAUUGGGACUGAGAUACGGCCCAGACUCCUACGGGAGGCAGCAGUGGGGAAUCUUGCACAAGGGGUGGAAGCCUGAUGCAGAAACGCCGUGGGCGGGAGGACGGUCUUCGGGUUGUAAACCGCUUUCGCUCAUGACGAAGCUUUGUGUGACGGUAGUGGGUAAAGAAGCACCGGCUAACUACGUG